AUACCUUUCUCGGCCUUUUGGCUAAGAUCAACUGUAGUAUCUGUUCUUAUCAGCCUUCAUGAUAUUAAAUUAAUUUUUCUUGGGGGAAGGUUCACCUUAGUAGCUUGCUACUAGGGCCUUCAAGCGUUGCCCAUGCGUUGCACUACUGCAUGGGCCUGGGGCACCCCCU
rnacentral:snRNA from 1 species